AUGUAUUAUGAAGGAGCAGAUGAGGAAAUACAGAGAGAGGUGGUUGGGACUCAUCGGGAAGAAAGUGUCAGCCUCAACAGCAACCAUUCAGUUCUUCCCAGUACAGUUUCUGCUCAGAGCACAGAACUAAAUCAUAAAACACAAGAAAGCUACAGAGCAUUGCCAGGUGGCUUACAGAGCCAGUCUGUGGCUAUAGGUCCAACAGAAAUCAAGUCUGAACAUAAGGAGAAGGAUGAAAAUAUACAUGAACCCCCCUCAUCGGAUGACAUGAAAUCAGAUGAUGAGUCCUCCCAGAAGGAUAUCAAGGUCUCAUCUAGAGGCAGAACAAGCAGUACUAAUGAAGAUGAGGAUUUAAACCCAGAGCAGAAAAUAGAAAGAGAAAAGGAGAGGAGAAUGGCAAAUAACGCUAGAGAACGUUUGCGCGUACGAGAUAUUAAUGAGGCAUUUAAAGAACUUGGCCGUAUGUGUCAGCUUCACCUGAAGAGUGAAAAACCACAGACGAAACUGCUUAUUCUUCACCAGGCUGUGGCAGUCAUCCUCAGUCUAGAGCAGCAAGUGAGAGAACGAAACCUAAACCCUAAAGCAGCCUGCCUUAAGAGAAGGGAAGAAGAAAAAGUUUCUGCCGUAUCGGCAGAGCCGCCAACACCACACCCAGGAAGCCACCCUGGUCUGAGUGAAACUACCAACCCUAUGGGUCAUAUGUGAACACCAGCCAGAACUAUUGGCAGGAUACACAGAAGGUGACCUUUCUUCACAAGGACACAGACAACUAACAUUAUAUGAAGACACAAACCUGACAGGAGAAAACACUUGAAGCAAAGAAACCCAAAUGCAAUCUUAUGAUCAAAGCUACUGGUCAACACCUGCAUCAGGAUUGAAGAUACAAGAUCUUCAGAUUGAAUUUCAGCCCAUGAAAUGCUCUGAACAUAUCAUUCUGUUGCAAGCAGUGUGUCGCUUCUGCACAAUCAGAGACUGUUGUGAUCUCUCCACUCAUUGUGGAAGUUGCCUUGUGCCUAAACUGAAUUGACAAAUGCAUUGUAACUACAAAUUUUAUUUAUUGUUAUGGAACUGUAAAGGUCUACAUAUAAAGGGAAAAGUUAACAUGUUAAAAGCUGAUAAAACUUCAGCUGGAUGCCAGCAUUUACUAAAGCUGUUCACAUUCAGAGAACAAAGCAGUGACAACCGUCGACCCGUAGCAUUCCCAGCAUACCUAUUAGUGUCUUAAAAAAGGAAGGGAAAAGUCUUUUGUUGUCCUUUCCUCUCCUUUUGCCAUAUGACUAGUGUUUUCCAUGCAAUAGGAAACUAUUCUUUGGUAUAGCUUUUUUUAUGUUAUUUUUGGUCUCUGGUAACCUGAACAGUUAUGGUCAUAGGUACCCUUCCAUACUGAGCUCCAUGCUUCAAGCCGGGAAGAGCCCUCGUGAAGGCUGCAGGCAGGAGCAAUACUGUGACCAUAACAUCUCUUGGAUUUAAGAAGUGAUUUUUAUUUUCCCUCAGACUUUCCUCAAACUUUUUUUUUUUUCUAAUUAUAAACAAAACCUUUUUAGGCUUCUAGGCUUCAUAGUAAAGCUUGUAACGUGAAGUGUAAAUUGGGUGGGGAGAAUCUACUUUGUUAGAGUUGCUUUGUUUUCCGAGCAGUAAGUACUACAUAUAGUACAUGUAAAGUGUUAGCUGUACGUAAGCACAAAAUGCAUUAAAAUACAAAGGAGAUUUUUUUCAGGCUGUAAUUUUGGUGAAUAGUAAAAUCCUAAAUUCACCAUGGCAGGUAGUGUGAUGAUAUAGCCACCAGUAAGGUGGGCUUCCUUACAUAAUGGAGUAUAAGAGCAAUGGUCACCAGUUUUUUCUUACUGUAUACAUUAAUUAUCUUGUCAUCUUUGUAUGGCUUGUCAGUGGAGAAAAAAAAAAAUAGUGUGAAUCAAAUGCAAACUAAUGCCCCCUCCCAAGCCAUAUUAGCAUUAAACCUUUCAAUGUUUCUCUACCAGAACAGUGUCCAUAAGUAUUCCUUUGUCACAGAUGUGUUGAAAUGGUUAAAAUCCUUUUGAACUUCCAUGGAAACUGUCUUCCACUGCAAUGACCAUGGGAGGAAAUUUCCUCAGCCAAGGUUGUCUGAGCUAUUGUUUAUAUAGUGCAUCUUUCAUCACUGGCAAUUGGUUCACACACAAAACAGGAACAAACCAGUAAUUUUUAUGAAGUCAUUUCAUUUGGAAGAACAAAAGAUGGAUUGUUAAAAUAAACUAAUGAAUUUAAGCUCAUGUUUUGGAUGGUUCCUAACAAAACAGUUUGUGGAAUUAGUGGACUCAUUUCUAUUACUUUAAUUUGCAUAUAUCAUCAAAUAACACCUGAUUAUAUCUGUGGCCUUGUUCUUCAUUUCAGUGUUUAUCAGCUAAACAAAUUUGUUGCUUAUGACGUGUGAAAGUGAUCACGUGCCACUGCCUGGCCUUUUUCCUUCUAAGCUUGUUGUCUUUUUGGCUAUAUUAGACUUUGCAGUAUGCCCAGAAGCUUUCCUUCAUAAAAUAGAAAGAAAAAAACAUUUGGCUUAUUUUUCACUGUAGCUAGUCUUUUAUACAAUAAUCUUGUAAGAAAAUUUCUUGAAUUCUAAAUAUUACUCUUUCUAGAUUUUUGAAAUCAAAAAAGUUUUCAGUAAAAAGUUUCUUACUUUAUUUUACUAUAUUAGGUAGUAAAAAUGUAGGGUUAUUUACCAUAACCUGUUCAUUAAUAUCAGAAAUUUACAAUAGCAUUGUAAGACCAUAGUAGGGUUCUAGCAUACCGUGUAGUACCUAUGGAGUAUUGUAAGAGCUAAUUGUCCGAGAUGAAUUGCUUCUCAUCUUGUUCUCCAGUUUCCAUUGUUGGUUUAUUGCAGAUUUGUACCCUGUGUCAAAUUUCAAGGUAUUGCUGAUAAACCUUUCCAACCAGCAGCAAGAAGUUCAAAAAAAUUUCUGUCAAUGUAACAGAAAACACUAUGUAUAUAACAUUUAUGUAGCAAUAAAUGUGCCAUCUUUUUUUAACAUGGUAAA